GACGAACGCUGGCGGCGUGCUUAACACAUGCAAGUCGAACGGAAAGGCCCUGCUUUUGUGGGGUGCUCGAGUGGCGAACGGGUGAGUAACACGUGAGUAACCUGCCCUUGACUUUGGGAUAACUUCAGGAAACUGGGGCUAAUACCGGAUAGGAGCUCCUGCUGCACGGUGGGGGUUGGAAAGUUUCGGCGGUUGGGGAUGGACUCGCGGCUUAUCAGCUUGUUGGUGGGGUAGUGGCGUACCAAGGCUUUGACGGGUAGCCGGCCUGAGAGGGUGACCGGCCACAUUGGGACUGAGAUACGGCCCAGACUCCUACGGGAGGCAGCAGUGGGGAAUAUUGCACAAUGGGCGGAAGCCUGAUGCAGCAACGCCGCGUGCGGGAUGACGGCCUUCGGGUUGUAAACCGCUUUCGCCUGUGACGAAGCGUGAGUGACGGUAAUGGGUAAAGAAGCACCGGCUAACUACGUG
rnacentral:rRNA from 1 species